CUUAUCUUCUCUCGUGCUUGUCUCAUGCAUGUGGGAGCAUCCUAUCCCAUCUUCUCUUGUGAUAGAUCUUCCCUAUAAAUAGGCCAAAGUGUUAUGCAAAUACUCAUAUCAGUCAAGUUCAGAGUUAGCUCAAGGUCCAUUUAGCUGCUCACGGAAUCAAGGAUGAGCUGCGCCGCCCCAAAAGCCCCCGCCGGAGAGGAGAAGAAGACGUCAUGGCCGGAGGUAGUGGGAAAGUCCAUCGAGGAGGCCAAGGAGAUCAUCCUUAAGGACAUGCCUGACGCCGACAUCGAUGUCCUUCCUGCUGGCUCGGCGGCGACCCUCGACUUCAGGACCAACCGUGUCCGCAUCAUCGUCGACACUGUCUCGACCACCCCUUCCAUUGGUUAGCAAGCUUUGUGAGCGAGAGACAAAAUGGAUGCACUUAUGCAUGCUGAUGAAUAAGUAGUUUCAGUAAUCAUGGAUGAAUAAAUACACGCUGACCAAUGGCGUGUGUCGAUGUACUUAUGGUUCAAUGGACUUGACCAGUUAUUUUUAAUAUAUGAGAUGUCGGCUUGUUGUUCA